CUGAUUCACGUGGUUGUCCAGCAGAAACUUACACAAUCUUGUAAGUAUACUCCAAUAAAAAUAAAAUAGAAAAAAAUGAAGUCAAAUAAAAAAAAAAAAAAAAAGAAAGGGACCUCUGUCCCCGACUGCAGGAUACACAAAAGCCAGAUUGUCAAUAUUUAUCUGGAGAGCCCAGGCUCUGGAUUAAUCUGGCCUAAAGAUAAUACAAAUAGCACUUUGAUGUGACUUGAGAAAUGUAUUAAUUCAUUCAACAAGCAUGUGCUUGUUGGGUUCUGGGCCAAGCCCCAGGCCGGGCACUGGGGAUCUGGGGUAGAUCACCCCCGACUCUGCCCUGGAGAGGCCCACGGUCUAGGAAGAGAGAGGGGAGGCCCCCCGGAAUGCAAUAAGAUGGCAGGUGGGGGCCUGCUCCGUCCCAGCUGAAAUUCCUCCUGAGAAAAACCAGAAUGGUGUCAGCUCAAAUAAGGGCUCGAGGGAUUGGCAAAUGCGGGGGCGGGAGGGGCUAGGGAGGGCCACACGCACCGUGGCGGUGGCCACCAGCUCAGGAAGCCAAGGGGUCAGGGCAGUGUGCAAAAGCAGAGGCCACGUCCGCAGGGUCUGAUAAAAGACGGGAGGCACCUCCCCUCCAGAAAGCCCUUCCCAUCCGGUUUGAUUCUCCCUUGCCCUGAGGUGCGGAACACCAGGUACAAGUCAACAAAACGUGCAAAGCAACAAGGAGAUAAAACAGAUUGCGAUCUCCUGUGUGGCGGGCGCAGAGCGUCUGCACGGGACAACACCACGGGGUGGCCCCCGCCCCGGUGGGGAUGUAGGGGCUCCUGCCUGCAGAGCUCAUCAGUUUCCUGUUUCCAGCACCCGCUGCGUGGGGCAAAAAGGAGAGAUUUGGUGGCAGUGGUGGGAUCCAAGAUGGCCUUCUGAUUGCAUUCAUGGACAAUGAGAAAGACAGGCGUGGUGCCGGCAAACCCCUUUUUGACUGGACUGUCCUUUCUCACCAUUUCUGAGGCCAGAGGAAGUUCAUCAUGUUCGUGAGCUCUGCUUUCUUUGCAUCAAGCGCCUGGUCUAAUUGGUUUUCUGCCUCUAGUCACCAAGCAAAUCCCCCUAAGACUGGACCUCAGAAGAGGAACAAAGCAAAUGAUUGACUGAAAAAUGGUGAGCCUGGAGUGGUGACCUGUGGAUAGCACACAGAUUCAGCAACAAAGCAGCAUCAGCAAAAGCGGUGAGAACUACAGAGCAAUAGGUGAGUGGUGCUGAUGCCUUAAAUUCUGAUCCCAUUUCUCAGUUAGGCUGAGAGUUUGAUCAAAGUGGAAUUGUUGAAAAGAAACAACAGGUCCAAAAUGGAGUCACUUAUGCUAAGCGCCACCAAGACUUACUACCUAGCCUGAUGACAUCACUGACUCAAUGGACAUGAAUUUAAGCAAACUCCAGGAGAUAGUGGAAGACAGAGGAGCCUGGUGUGCUGCAGUCCACGGGGUCACAAAGAGUCAGACAUGACUUAGCAACUAAAAAGCAACAACGAUUAUAAUUUCAGCCUUUCUCAAGAGUGGUGUUUUAAACCAAUCAGUCUGGAAUUACUUGGUGAGCACUAGUAAGGAAAUCUGCCUAAGAUUCCCUGACUUCCCCUAAGGGAAGAUAACCCUGCCUAACUAGUCCCUUGGACUCCAAGGAGAUCAAACCAGUCAGUCCUAAAGGAAACCAACCCUGAAUAUUCAUUGGAAGGACUGAUGUUGAAGCUGAAGUUCCAAUACUUUGGCCACCUGAUGCGAAGAG